AGUCAUAUGUCCAGAUCAUGCAGGACCCUGAAGAUAACAGAAAGGGCUCUUCAUUCUGUUAUUUUCAGUAAGAUGGAAGAGAAUUUGGGGGUUAAAGGUGAGGACUGGCAUGGCCUAAAGUGUGUUUUAAUAGGAUCACUGUGACUUCUGUGCUAAAAGCAGACUGCAAGGGACAGAAGCUGAAGCAGGAGGAGGGAAAAUAGAGAAGAGUAAGAAAAAGUGAUGGAGGAAGGAAGAGGAAAAGAAGCAAGGAUCCAAAAUGCAAAUGUGGGACAUUUUAGAAGAGCAGAACGUUGCAUUUCAGCCUUCCUGUCUGAUAUAACCCAUCUGGUGACUGCAUUCAAAAGAGCCCUACCAAGAAUAUUUUCAUGGAGUUAUUUUUCCACUGUGUAUUUCACACUUCAUCUUUGCAGGAGAAUGGAUGGAUUUACUUGGCACGUAGCAGGGGACAGUCUGUGGAAAGAAGUGAGAAGGAUAAUCCAAUAGCAAAAGUGAGGGGUGAUGAAGAGUGAAAGGUACCGAUGCCACCAUGAGGAGACCCCAUGGAUGGACAGCAGGCCCUCACCAAACACCAAAUCUUCUGGCACCUUUGUCUUGGAUAUCCUGGACUUUGGAAGGUUUCCUUGCGGCACAGACGAAGAUUUGAGGGAAUCGUCGAGAUAACCUCUCAUGGCUUCCUCAAUGGGUUUCAAGGAGAACAGCCGCAACUGCAGCUUCCGAUUGGAGAAGGUUUCUGCAGAUACUUUUUACAUUGCAGAAUAAAUAAGACAGCCUGUUGGAACACCCAUAUGGUAUGGAACUGAGGGCAGCCUCAAAAGUGGCCACCAGCUGAUAGCAAAGAGCCAAAAGGAAGCCAGAGCCUCAGUCCUACAACUGCAAAAAAUAUAUUUCUGCCAACAACCUGAGUGAUGUUGGAAAUGGACUCUUCCCCAGCAGGCAUUCACAACUGCUAAUCAUGAAUAUAUCUCAAGAAAGAAGUGAUUGUCGAUAAUUAUCCCCUAAAGCCCACCUCAUGCAAUACCAAAAAUGAUAGGCAGAGAGGGACAGAUGACUUCCUCUUUGCUUGGUCUGUAAGCACAAUGUAAGUUCCAUUCAUAUGGUCUUUCCUUUUAUUGUUUCAUCUCCCAGGGGCCUUGAAUUCUCUUGUGAUCUAAAGAAUAAGCUCUCCA
rnacentral:lncRNA from 10 species